AACUCAAGUACCACAGUGACUUAAUGGAUUACAUCAAUCAAAACUUUCGACUGUGGCAGCGGCUUAAGCAAUUACGUCAUGCAGAACUUUCAAGCGUGGCAGCGGCUUAAGACCUCUCUGGGCUUUGAAAUGAUCGGCAACUUUGAAACUCUCUUUCUUGAGAAAUAUAAAAGGACCAGCCGAGAUUAUUGAUCAGUCAAAGGAAGUUAAGGUAGUAACGAUAGACAGGGACCUCACACAGUCACAUAACAGAGUAGAUCCAGGAAGCAUCAGAGCUUCGAUAAUCAGCACGUUGAUCUCCAACUUCGGGCAGCCCAUCGAAUGAUACGGCAUGCAGAAGUAUUCCGUAAGAACGAACAAGACUUGGUCCAUUCGAUCUCUUGGGCACCAUCGAUAUCGCAUUUAACCGGUUCAGACGAGACUUUCACUCUCCACCAGUUUCACGUAACCUAACCCAGGUACAUCGUGUUUAUGUUGUAUC